AUGAACAGAUCAGAUACACGUAGAGAUCCACCUCUUGCACACCGACACGCACGGCAGAUCAGUUCGCUCGCUGCCGUAUAUUUGAGCUCGCAAGUAGCGGAAAAGAUGGCUGCUGCUCGCGUCGGCAUUGUGCUCCUGAUGGUCAUGCUCAUCGGGGCGCAGCUCGUGGCCGUGCCGGAAGCUCGCCCGAUUGAGCAACCGGCGGUUGAAGAACACACCGCCGCCAACCGCAAAGCGGCUGGCGUUCCGCCGUCCAAGUGGAACGUGCGAAGGGCGGUCGUCGGAGAGAAGAGGACGGUUCCCGGGGGGCCAGACCCACAACAUCAUUACUAG
rnacentral:rRNA from 1 species